rnacentral:tRNA from 1 species
GUCCAGGAUAGCCUAGUGGUCAUGGCAUCUGCCCAGUAAGCGGAAGGUCGUGGGUUCGAUUCCCAUCCCUUGACA